rnacentral:rRNA from 1 species
AUCUGGCUCUUUCAGAGUCCGAGUUGUAAUUUGAAGAAGGUAUCUUUGGGUCUGGCUCUUGUCUAUGUUUCUUGGAACAGAACGUCACAGAGGGUGAGAAUCCCGUGCGAUGAGAUGAUCCAGGCCUAUGUAAAGUUCCUUCGAAGAGUCGAGUUGUUUGGGAAUGCAGCUCUAAGUGGGUGGUAAAUUCCAUCUAAAGCUAAAUAUUGGCGAGAGACCGAUAGCGAACAAGUACAGUGAUGGAAAGAUGAAAAGAACUUUGAAAAGAGAGUGAAAAAGUACGUGAAAUUGUUGAAAGGGAAGGGCUUGAGAUCAGACUUGGUAUUUUGUAUGUUACUUCUUCGGGGGUGGCCUCUACAGUUUAUCGGGCCAGCAUCAGUUUGGGCGGUAGGAGAAUUGCGUUGGAAUGUGGCACGGCUUCGGUUGUGUGUUAUAGCCUUCGUCGAUACUGCCAGCCUAGACUGAGGACUGCGGUUUAUACCUAGGAUGUUGGCAUAAUGAUCUUAAGUCGCCCGUCUUGAACCACGGACCAA